GCCUGGUUGAUGGUGGCUGCUGUGUUCGUGCAGUUUUGUGGCUAUGCCUCGACCCAGAUUUCUGUGGCCCAAUGUUUGAGAGAAGAUUCAGGGUUCACCUCCCCGAUGUUUGAGCCACAGUACAGAGUCAGCCAUUGUCGCUGUGAAGUAGGGCCCCAUAUUGAGCAAGAUUAAGUGCCAGACCGCUGCUGUGCCUACACCAGUGAUAACUGGCCACUAGUAUGAGUUGUUUUUUACUGUUGGUCCGACGUCUCAUGCAUCACGUUCCUGAUGGACUGUUCGACCUUUAAUAAUUGUGUUGAUUGCUUAUUUUUUUUAAAUAUUUUAUUGUGACCCUGAACUAACCUGAUGGGUGGUGGUCACUUGAACAGUGUUUGUUCUUGCAGUGUAAGUUGCAGUGGUAGUGAUCAGUGUGCUCAUGUGGUGGUGUCUAUUGGGGUUUGCGAUAUAUUCUCCCUGUGGUAAAUACACUGCCUACAUAAUCUCCUAUUUAUGUUAAAUAGUGUUGUUUCUGUUGUCUCAGUAUUUCAGUUAUUUUAGCUUGUAUGAACAUUAUGAAAUGUUAUUCGUUUUUACUUAUAACCAUCUGUCUUUUUUCCUCUGGUCCUUAUUACAGUCCUCCUAUUAAAUAAAGAUUUAAUUUUGAACUGAA